rnacentral:rRNA from 1 species
ACGCUGGCGGCAGCUUUAAUACAUGCAAGUCGAGCGAGAAAGUUUCUUCGGAGACGAGUAAAGCGGCGAACGGGUGAGUAACGCGUAGGAAUCUACCAUUCAGCGGGGGAUAGCUCGGGGAAACCCGAAUUAAUACCGCAUACACCCUACGGGGGAAAGAAGGCCUCUCCUUGGAAGCUUUCACUGUUUGAUGAGCCUGCGUGAGAUUAGUUUGUUGGUGAGGUAAUGGCUCACCAAGACUACGAUCUCUAGCUGGUCUGAGAGGACGAUCAGCCACACUGGGACUGAGACACGGCCCAGACUCCUACGGGAGGCAGCAGUAGAGAAUAUUGGACAAUGGGGGCAACCCUGAUCCAGGCAUGCCGCGUGUGUGAAGAAGGCCUUAGGGUUGUAAAGCACUUUAGGUAAGGAAGAAAAGUUAAUAGUUAAUACCUGUUAACCGUGACAUUACUUACAGAAUAAGGACCGGCUAACUCCGUGCCAGCAGCCGCGGUAAUACGGAGGGUCCAAGCGUUAAUCGGAAUUACUGGGCGUAAAGCGCGCGUAGGCGGUACGCUAAGUUGGGUGUGAAAUCCCCGGGCUUAACCUGGGAACUGCAUUCAAAACUUGUGUACUGGAGUACGAAAGAGGCGAGUAGAAUUCAUGGUGUAGCGGUGAAAUGCGUAGAUAUCAUGAGGAAUACCAAUGGCGAAGGCAACUCGCUGGUUCGUAACUGACGCUGAGGUGCGAAAGCGUGGGUAGCAAACAGGAUUAGAUACCCUGGUAGUCCACGCCGUAAACGAUGAGAACUAGCCGUUGGAUCCUUGAGGUUCAGUGGCACAGCUAACGCAUUAAGUUCUCCGCC